UAGGGAAUCUUCGGCAAUGGACGAAAGUCUGACCGAGCAACGCCGCGUGAGUGAAGAAGGUUUUCGGAUCGUAAAACUCUGUUGUUAGAGAAGAACAAGGACGUUAGUAACUGAACGUCCCCUGACGGUAUCUAACCAGAAAGCCACGGCUAACUACGUGCCAGCAGCCGCGGUAAUACGUAGGUGGCAAGCGUUGUCCGGAUUUAUUGGGCGUAAAGCGAGCGCAGGCGGUUUCUUAAGUCUGAUGUGAAAGCCCCCGGCUCAACCGGGGAGGGUCAUUGGAAACUGGGAGACGUCAGUGCAGAAGAGGAGAGUGGAAUUCCAUGUGUAGCGGUGAAAUGCGUAGAUAUAUGGAGGAACACCAGUGGCGAAGGCGGCUCUCUGGUCUGUAACUGACGCUGAGGCUCGAAAGCGUGGGGAGCAAACAGG
rnacentral:rRNA from 1 species